AACAGCAAAGUUCCGAUUGACAAAUUAUAUGUUAGCUUCUGUGACGCCGAAAUUUACGUUUUUUUAAUUUGUAAGAGGAAUAAUUCUGGCUUACUUGUUUUCCAAUAACAAGCCCGUUUCUCAUAAUCUUUUUAUUUUGUCGUUCACUCUGCAGAUCUAAAAAUGGUGACGAAUCUUUGCUAGCAGUUGUAUCUUCAUUGUCGUCAAUGCCAUUUUCCGCAUCUUCGUCUAUUUCAGGAAGACCUUCUAAAUGACUUUUGGAAAGAUUCAUUGAAGGGGGCACUAAAACGUUAGUUCAGGUACAAACAGGAGAAAACCUUACAUUUAACAAGACGAUUUUGUCGUUUAAUUUUUUUCUUCAUAGGUUGUGAUAUGUCUCUAUCUACAAGGCUUUCUGAAGAUGAGCUACUAAAGCUUUCAAACUCCUGCAAUAUCUUCUCUUCAUUUGAUCCGUAAUCAUCUUCAAUAUCUUUUAACUCACGAAGCAUUUCACUGAGACUUUUUCGGCAUGGCGCAUUAACUCGAAGUAAGUUAGGAGAUGUAUAAACUUGAAGGCGAUAUGAAGAGGGGGUUUCAAGAACGGUGGGAGUAUGUUGAGCCACAGGUUCGGGAUUUUUUGAUGGAGUAGUCGGUAUCAUAGUUGAUGAAAUUUCACUAGUGUUAUGUUUUAUAUCCGAAAUUUGAUCCACAUGAGAAUCUGCAAUGGGAGACAUGUCUUCAAGAAGGUUAAGUACUCGACGUGACAACUGUGGAGUAGGACCUAAAAGACUUUUAUCCACAGUUUUCGGAGUAACCUGUAGAUAAUCAUUUCGGGGCGCUUUAGGACUCUCGUUCGCUUCAGUUUCAGCACGCUGUUUUGUAGGAGUUUGAAACUUAAAGUCGACCUUUGUUUUUGCUUUUUUAGGGGUAAUGGAGGAUUCGCGUUUCAACUCGUAGUAUUGCUUAUAUAAAAGCGCUAAAAAAGUUCGUUAGUUUGCUUCAAAAAUUCAAGUGUAUCUUUGGCUUACAUACCUAUUUCUGGUUGUUUCUUCACAUCCUCCUUAGAAGGUUUGCAAUUGUUCGUAUGGACGUACUCAUGUUCCCACUUCUUUAAGAGCGCUUUUAUACUAGAUAUUUGUUUAGUUCGUGAUUCAUCGUGCAUGAUUUGCCAAUUAAUGCACUGCCUGGACCCAAUUUCAAUUUUGUAGUGUUCGAUUCAAACAACUGCAAAAACAAACUCAAAACAAAAAGAGAGGCUAAUCUACAUAA